UUCUCUCUCUCACUCCAUCUCUCCCUCUAUUUUUCUCUCUCUCUCUCUUUCUCGCUCUCUAUUUUCUUCUCUCCCUCCUCUCUUUCUCUCUCUCACUCUGAUCUGUUUUAGCUAAUAAUUGCUGCGUUAGUCAAAACACCCAUUCCCCAUUCCACCGAGCCCACCAUGGUGCCUCUGCUGACCCCAUCAGCCUUACCUAGAGCACCUUACCUCUGCGCGGCAGUGUUCAUCCCAAACAUGUUGACAAUCUACAUGGGACGGGCACAGUGACGUGUCAGCAUGGCGUGGAACACAUACACCAGGUCGCUUACCGGAGCUGCAAGCACCCUAACCCCACACAGAGCAGGGGGGCAGACGCAGAGGAGGCUGCCCGACCACUUCCGUGUUCCAUUUUGAGCCGAGUGUGUUUCCUGGUGUGUGGCAGAGCGGAGCACGCCCCGGCUGUGAGAUGGAGCCAGAUGGAACUAGUGCAGUGUCAGUGUCAGAUGGAACCAGGUGGAACCACUACAGUAUCAGUGUCAGAUGGAACCAGAUGGAACCACUACAGUAUCAGUGUCAGGUGGAACCAGGUGGAACCACUACAGUAUCAGUGUCAGGUGGAACCACUACAGUAUCAGUGUCAGGUGGAACCACUACAGUAUCAGUGUCAGGUGGAACCACUACAGUAUCAGUGUCAGGUGGAACCACUACAGUAUCAGUGUCAGGUGGAACCACUACAGUAUCAGUGUCAGGUGGAACCACUACAGUAUCAGUGUCAGGUGGAACCACUACAGUAUCAGUGUCAGGUGGAACCACUACAGUAUCAGUGUCAGGUGGAACCACUACAGUAUCAGUGUCAGGUGGAACCACUACAGUAUCAGUGUCAGGUGGAAACACUACAGUAUCAGUGUCAGGUGGAACCACUACAGUAUCAGUGUCAGGUGGAACCACUACAGUAUCAGUGUCAGAUGGAACCAGUGCAGUGUCAAGACGGUACAAGGCGACAGUGAAAUGCUUCGAAGAUUACCCAGAAAGGAAAAGGGGAAGUUGGUGGGCCAAAAAUACAACGUUGUAAUCGGGGGAGAUUACAGAGAGAGAGAGAAUGUGUGAGCUAAACAGUUUAUAUUGCUGCAAAGGGAAGUUGGAACUGAUCAAAUGAUUUGUCUGAAAUGAGAGGGCGUUGACGAAAGCAUGUAAAAGAGACAUUGCAGACCAAGUGAAGAAUAAUAUCUUAGAAAUGUAAUUUGGGGUUUGAAAUCCUCUUCAUCCCAACUAAUCUCUGACCUACACAUGGGCAGAAUAUGACUAACAUUAUCUAUGUAUUAUACAACAUACAUACAUAUAACUAUGAUUCACUGGCACUUUAACAACAGUGUAAUAAGCCCAGUAAGGAUAAAUAAGGACAUUACAUAUACAUAUGAAGUGCUGAAAAUCUAUUGGUAUUCCUUCUAUGAUGUUAAACAUAGCUGGUAUAUGCUAUUCUGUCACUGGUUCUUAAAUAUUGGUCUGAUGCCGAAAACACGAAUGGAACAAACAAAGAAGUCUUGAGCAAUUAAUAUGGAGAACCAAAAUGAAUAUUUUCUCAUGGGUCAAGGCAGCGUUUUGGGCUGAGCAUUGAAAGAAGGAGAAGGGAGGGGGACUAAGUGGCCAUCCCCAUGGUCACGGCCAAUGUUGUGUUACUUUCACUAUGAGUGUCAAAGAAGCCUUCCCUUCUGGGUGAGUCGGCCUUACCCCCCCCCCCCC